rnacentral:piRNA from 1 species
UUCUAUAGAGCCAAUGAUGUUUGAUGUUAGU